rnacentral:rRNA from 1 species
UACGAAGGGUGCAAGCGUUAUCCGGAUUCAUUGGGUUUAAAGGGUGCGUAGGCGGGGUGAUAAGUCAGUGGUGAAAUCUUGCGGCUCAACCGUAAAAUUGCCAUUGAUACUGUCAUUCUUGAGUACGCUUGACGUGAGCGGAAUGUGCCGUGUAGCGGUGAAAUGCUUAGAUAUGGCACAGAACACCGAUAGCGAAGGCAGCUCACGAAGGCGAAACUGACGCUGAGGCACGAAAGCGUGGGGAAUCGAACAGGAG